rnacentral:rRNA from 1 species
AUGCACGCUGGCGGCGUGCCUAAUACAUGCAGGUCGAGCGAACGGACGAGAAGCUUGCUUCUCUGAUGUUAGCGGCGGACGGGUGAGUAACACGUGGAUAACCUACCUAUAAGACUGGGAUAACUUCGGGAAACCGUAGCUAAUACCGGAUAAUAUUUUGAACCGCAUGGUUCAAAAGUGAAAGACGGUCUUGCUGUCACUUAUAGAUGGAUCCGCGCUGCAUUAGCUAGUUGGUAAGGUAACGGCUUACCAAGGCAACAAUGCAUAGCCGACCUGAGAGGGUGAUCGGCCACACUGGAACUGAGACACGGUCCAGACUCCUACGGGAGGCAGCAGUGGGGAAUUUUGCACAAUGGGGGAAACCCUGAUGCAGCGACGCCGCGUGAUUUAGAAGGCCUUCGGGUUGUAAAAAUCUUUUGUAUAGGAAGAAAAUGACAGUACUAUACGAAUAAGGGCCGGCUAAUUACGUG